GUCUUCAGGAUUUUUAUAUGAAGUCUGGUCUGCCCACUGAUUUUUUUAAAGGGCCGCGGUAUUUUGACCGUGCAAAGGUAGCAUAAUCAUUUGUCUUUUAAUUAAAGGCUUGUAUGAACGAUCAGACAAGAAAUAAGCUGUCUUAAUAGAAAUUUAUUGAAUUUAACUUUUAAGUAAAAAGGCUUAAAUACUUUAAAGUGACGAUAAGACCCUAUAAAACUUGAUAAUGUGAAUUAAGAAAUAUAUUAGAUUAUAUUAAAAUUUCUUAUAUAAGCUUUAUUUUAUUGGGGCGAUAGAAAUAUAAUAAGUAACUGUUUUUAAUUAAUUAAUAAUGAUUGUUAAUAAAAUUAAAUGAUCCUCUACUAGAGAUUAAAAGAUUAAGUUACUUUAGGGAUAACAGCGUAAUUUUCUUUGAGAGUUCAUAUCUACAAGAAAGAUUGCGACCUCGAUGUUGAAUUAAAAAUUCUCUAAGGUGUAGCAGCUUUAGAAGAAGGUCUGUUCGACCUUUAAAUUUUU
rnacentral:rRNA from 1 species